UACGGGGGGGGCAAGCGUUGUUCGGAAUUACUGGGCGUAAAGGGUUAGUAGGUGGCCAACUAAGUCAGACGUGAAAUCCCUCAGCUUAACUGGGGAACUGCGUCUGAGACUGAUUGGCUCGAGGACAGGAGAGGAACGCGGAAUUCCAGGUGUAGCGGUGAAAUGCGUAGAUAUCUGGAGGAAGACCAGUGGCGAAGGCGGGUCUCUGGACAGUUCCUGACACUGAGACACGAAGGCCAGGGGAGCAAACGGG
rnacentral:rRNA from 1 species